AAAAAAUUAUAUUAAUGAAAGUCUUCCGUUGUCUUCUCGAAGCCAACUCGCUGUCCAAGAAGCUUCACGGAGAGAGAGAGACAGAGAGAGAGAGAGAGAGAGGCGAUGAAGAUCUUCGGAAAAUACGUAUCUCCAGGGCAAAUAAUGCUGAUGGCUUCUGGGGUUGUGUUCUUGGCUUCAACAACGUAUGACGUGCAUAGAUCUAUAAAGAACAACGAAACCCCGCCGUCUAAAGAACAAAUGGAAGCCCUUGAAGAUUAUAUCAGAUCCAAACGUGCUUCUCCUUAAUCUGUUGCCCAAAAAACAGUCUUUUCGUGUUAUUUAUGUUCUCGUGUGCAUUUGGUUAUUCAAGAGAGAAAAAAAGAAAAAAAGCAUAUGUAUUUUUUAUCGUUGUAUUUAAUAAAAUAUUAUAUUAGUGAUA